GGGAAGUUAACUCAGUGGUAGAGUGCUUGCCUUGCAUGCAUGAGGCCCUGGGUUCGAUUCCUCAGAACCA
rfam:Dipodomys ordii contig_11489, whole genome shotgun sequence.